AACGAACGCUGGCGGCAUGCCUAACACAUGCAAGUCGAGCGAGACCUUCGGGUCUAGUGGCGCACGGGUGCGUAACGCGUGGGAACCUGCCCUUAGGUUCGGAAUAACUCCCCGAAAGGGGUGCUAAUACCGGAUAAUGUCUUCGGACCAAAGAUUUAUCGCCUUUGGAUGGGCCCGCGUUGGAUUAGCUAGUUGGUAGGGUAAAAGCCUACCACGGCGACGAUCCAUAGCUGGUCUGAGAGGAUGAUCAGCCACACUGGGACUGAGACACGGCCCAGACUCCUACGGGAGGCAGCAGUGGGGAAUAUUGGACAAUGGGCGAAAGCCUGAUCCAGCAAUGCCGCGUGAGUGAUGAAGGCCUUAGGGUUGUAAAGCUCUUUUACCCGGGAUGAUAAUGACAGUACCGGGAGAAUAAGCUCCGGCUAACUCCGUG
rnacentral:rRNA from 1 species